CCUACGGGUGGCAGCAGUGGGGAAUAUUGGACAAUGGGCGAAAGCCUGAUCCAGCCAUGCCGCGUGUGUGAAGAAGGCCUUCGGGUUGUAAAGCACUUUCAGUGGGGAAGAAAGCCUUGGGGCUAAUACCCUCGAGGAAGGACAUCACCCACAGAAGAAGCACCGGCUAACUCCGUGCCAGCAGCCGCGGUAAUACGGAGGGUGCGAGCGUUAAUCGGAAUUACUGGGCGUAAAGCGCGCGUAGGCGGUCUGAUAAGCCGGUUGUGAAAGCCCCGGGCUCAACCUGGGAACGGCAUCCGGAACUGUCAGGCUAGAGUGCAGGAGAGGAAGGUAGAAUUCCCGGUGUAGCGGUGAAAUGCGUAGAGAUCGGGAGGAAUACCAGUGGCGAAGGCGGCCUUCUGGACUGACACUGACGCUGAGGUGCGAAAGUGUGGGUAGCAAACAGGAUUAGAUACCCCUGUAGUC
rnacentral:rRNA from 1 species